CCAGAUUGGAGAUUACUUGGAUGUUGCAAUUCUAUAGUGAAGUUAUUUAUUUUUUGCAGUUUUUAAUGUGUUUUAGGGCGGUGCACCAUUAGGAUGAUUUGGGAUAUCAGUUUAUGCCUGAGAAGGAAGGGACUAUUGCUAAGAUGGUACCAGUGUUCUAUUUGCCAAAGUAGUUAGAAAAUUAAAAAGGAAUGAGUGUCGGCGAAUCAUUAUAAGUAAACAGGUAGUGGUAUUUUCCAUUACAUCAGAACACUCAUCCAUGUAUUUUGACAUGAAGCUUGAGCUUUGUUUGGAGUUUGUAAAGCUAUUGAUGCUAGUUGUGACCUUAUAACCUAAGGAUCCAA
rnacentral:misc_RNA from 1 species